rnacentral:misc_RNA from 1 species
CCGAGACGAGAAUCGGAGGGUUAGAUGUAGCUGACCCUCCGCCGAUCGUAUCACCACCCUUCUUUACCAGUACCCAACGUACUUCCUCGGCGGGGCGACCCGCCGACGGGACGAACAAAAACCCUUUUCGUGCAUCCGAGCAGUAAUCGUUCCGAUGAAAACACAAUCGUUA